AAUCAGCCAGAGAAUACCAAAUCCCUAAACUCCACGAGCACUAUUCUUCGUCUCCGAAGAACACAAACAAGACCCAAAGUUCUGUCCAAAUCCAUGGCGAGUGAGCAUAAAUACCUAACCCACGCGUCCCUCUAUCUCUCCUCUUUCCGCUACUAACAGCUCAUGACGCCGAGAUUCCCUCUCCUAUUACUUCCUCAUUUUUAGACCUAUCUCACGGUUGGAAGCUUCUGGAGAUGAAAUGUUGGAUGAGCGUGAGGCGUUGAAUUUAUUUCCCAAAAUUCGAGGCCCAUAUUCAUCAAGGAUUGGUCUCCAAAAAAGGCUUUAUCCAAUUUUGUGAGGGGACUCAGCGAAAAAGAUUCAGAAAAAACAAGUGGAAAGCAUUCUAGAAUUUAUGGUUUUCUGAGUUUGUUUCUUUCUUCUGGAUUGAUUUCAUUAAAUAUUUAAGAGAAAGAUAUUUUUUUACUUUCUGAGUCCUGUUUUGAAUUCAAAAGAUAUGAAAAGAUGAAUUGAAUCUCGGGUUUGAUUAUCUGUUGUUGUUCUGCUGAGUUGUUGCUGGACCUCGAUAGGAUUUGGAGGCGAGAGUUGUAUUGUCGGGUUUAUAAUUGUAAUAAAAGAAGAUUUGCAACUUCAGGUUCCAUUUUCCUCUCUAUGUUUCAAUGCGACUCUUUUUUGCUCAGUGUUUUUUGAUCUAUCAGAUUUAAUCUAGUGUGGUUUGUUUGUGUUAUGAUCGAACUUUUUGCUAACUAGAUCUGUUUGCAAUGGUAGUAUGUGUUUGAGUAUUUGCAGUUAGUAGAAAUCGAUUUGAGUAGUCAUCUGGUUUGAAGUAUAUUUUGAAUCAAUGUGUCAUUACUUAAAAUGAACGAUUUGUUCAGUUUCUUUUGGUGAUCUUCUUUGCAAUACGCUAUAGUAUUCGUGAUUAUUUAAUAGAGCCAUAAGGUUCAAAAAGUUAAUUAAUAGUUCUAUAGAUGCUAUACUGGAAAUGUGUGGUCAACCUAGAAUGAUUUUCACUGUUAGCUUUGGUGUUGUUAUAGAGGAUUCAGCAUACAACUAAUCAAUGGUUGUGCUAAGGCUGACCUCAAAUAAAUUGGUUCUAAUAUCUUUAGAAUAGAGUUGCUGGAUGUCUUCUAUGUGCUGAUUGAUAAACUGUAGCAUUGCACUUGUUUAGUCGACUCUAUUUAAAAUAUUCUUUCAGUUUUGUCAUGGUUAUUAUGUGUGACAUGGUGCAUUAGUCAAGCUAGUGCAUAUUUUGAAGGGUUUUUGUCUAAUGUGAAUCCUACUAUGUUGUUCUAUGAAUCGGGAUCUUUGGUUGACGUCUCUACUAACUUGAUCUUAGUAUACUCUUUUAAGAGUUUUGAAAUGAAACCAUUUGAAGGUUUAACAAAUGUGAGGCCUAUUGGAUACCUUAACUGGAUGGACUGAUGUUUACGUGAAUCAACCAUUCUGAGUUAGUGUCUAAGCAUGAAUAUUAGCAUGUUUACUUGAAUCGACUUCUAGGCUAGCAUGGGAUCAUUCCGCUGAAAAUUUGCUUCGUUUGCACUGCCCAAACAGUCUAUUUGCACAACUUUGAGUGUAAAUUUCUGCAAUGUUAGCAGGCAGCAGCUCUGACGUAUUAGUAGUUCAUGUGUUUAUAUGAGUUUUUCUUGAUUUUGUGAUUGCUAAUCAGUCAGAGUAAAUCUGCAGAGGUGAGUUUGUUUUUGAUAGGUUCAUCGUUGGGUAGGAGUUUUCAGUGAAUUUUAUUUCGUCAAUUUGGGGUAUAACUGAUGCAUGUAAAUCAUACUGUUGUCCAAUGGCUCUUGUGUAGUAAUCAUUUCAUCGGGUAGUCCCAUUCGUUUCCCUGGAAUGUUUUGGAACAUGUUUGUAAUAUCAGGAGGGGAAUCUGAACUAUGUGCUUCAUUGAUUCUGAUGUGUUGCUGCAUACUCAUGUCGUACUACUACUAUCAUGAGUUUGAAACUAGAGUAAUCUUGCAAAAACAUGGAUUUCAAGGGAUGUAAACAAGCACCAGUUAUGUUGUAGUUUGUGAUUACAUUUGGUAAUUGUAUGAUUGGUUUUUUAUGGUUUGUCUUCAUGUAAUGGACAUUUUCUUCUUCUCCCUAAGCUUCUGCAUAUAAUCUGCUCAAAAUCCUUAUGUUUCUCAUGCUGGUACAAGAUAAUAACAUAGAUGAAUUCAUUUCAUUUGAUAUUAAGUGGUUAAAUCCAUAGCUGGUUUAAUUUUGUGCAGCGCUCUAAUGGUUAUUCACUGGCUGCAUAUUUCCACACUAUGUGCUUCUUCUUUCUUAGCUCACAUUUUUUCCUUUUGAAAAAUUCAUAUUACCUUCUCUUCAUGCAAUCAGGCUGCCGAGUUGGGCUUCAGGUGGAGCCCAGUUGUUUUACACGUUGGGCCUGCAGAAAUAGGCAGGCAAACAUCGAGAUUUAGACUGGCCUAGCCAUUUCAUAAUAUAAUAGGGUUGGUCCUUUACGAGUUUUAAUGUUUUAUGGAAUUAUUAGAUUGAGUCUGACAAAAUAUAUGUAGGAGUGAGCUUACGUCCUUUAAUAAACUAGUAAUGUCCUUUAAAAUAAAUUGUGGUGCGUUGCACAAAAUUAAAUCACAAAUUGCGCGGCCCUUUUAGUUAUACCUUUUAAAAUCCUUAAAACACGGGACAUACCAUAUAGUAAAUUUUCAUGGCCUCGCGCAAAUUUAACAAUGCAUUAGUUGCUUGAAGUGCGUCAUUUAAUAGUUUACCUUCCUAAACUCGGGUUUGCAUUUCAUGUGACCCAAAUCUAAAUCCAAUAACGUUGAAUAAAAUAUGCUACGGAUGGGGGUGCAUUUCAUGUGACAUGAUCCAAAGGCACGAAUUAAACGACGUUCAAAAUUCAUUCAAAAUUAAUUAUAAGCGGUAAGUAAUUUUAAAAUUGCACUAUAGGAUGAACAUGUUUUAAAAUCAGAUAUGCUUUUCAUUUUCAGACCAAUUAAGAUAGUUGAAGCGACCGUGCUAGAACCACGGGAUUUGAGGGUACCUAACACCUUCCCUCGGGUUAACAGAAUUCCUUAGUCAAAAUUUCUAGUUCUGAGACUUCAUUUGGAAAUUCAAAAAUUUCCUCGACUCGGGAUUCUAGAUAAACCGGUGACUUGGGACACCAAAGGCCAAAUCUAUCCCUAGCGGCGACUCUGACAAAUAAAUAAUCCCAUUUCGAAUAAUGUCACUUAAAUUUGAAAAAAUCCCUUAUACACUAUCCUUGGUGUAGGUGUAUAAAAAAUGAGGUGUGACACUAAGGUUAGACCAAACACUUACCUCAAACUUCUUCGGUCAAUUCAAACUCUAAUAACCGCCUUGCCUCUCAAAUUUGGCUCCAAAUCAAUUGUAUAGAUACAAUAAUAAAUUCAAUACAUCAAUAAAUGCUAAACAAUGCAAACCCAAUGCUUAAUUAUAGCUUUUCCAUCAUUUUUUCUCAAAACCCAAAAGUUGACCCUGGGCCUGCUUAGUCAAAAUACGAGGUUCCGACAAAAAUCAAAUCACCCAUUCACCUACGAGCCCGAAUAUAUCAUUUGCUUUCAAAUUCCACCCAAAAACGAGGUUCAAAUCAAGAAAAACCAAAAACCCCUAACUCUACCCAAAUACCCAAUUUUCUACCAUAAAUCACAUGUUUUAGGCCUAGAAUUUCAUUAAAUGUUGAUGAAAAUGGAAGAAAACGGGUGGAGAUUACAUAACCAAGAAGUUAUGGAGAGAAAGUGCUUCAUAAAUCGCCCAGAGCUUUGGAGAAGAAGGAACUUUGGAAAUUUUUUAAAAUCUCAUUUACAUAGAAUUUUUGGAAUUUAAAAUAACUGGGUGAAUUUGUUCUACCCAAUCGCGGGCAAUAGGUUGCAAUCGCAUAGGGUAAAGUUUGUUGGGCACUGCGAUCGCCGACAUAAAGUUGCAAUUGCAUAGAGUUGAGUUUUUGAGCACUACGAUCGCGGACGAUAACACGUGGUCGCAUACAAGAAGAAAAUGAAAGUUGGGUUUAUAUAACACCAUCGCAUAGAGGAGAAUGCAAUUGCAUAGAAGGAUAUGUGAACCCUUGAAGUUUGCGCUAUGCGAUCGCGACCCUUUUUAUACAAUCGCAUAGAGUAAAUCACUGGAAAAUAGACAUCAGCUAUUUCUUCAACAUUUCUACGGCUAGAAAAAUGUUGAUACUCAUUCGAGUCACACCCGAGCACUCGGGGAUCUAACCAAACACAUGAACUAACUCAACAACAUCAUACGAACUUAUUCGUUUGAUCAAAUCGCCAAAAUAAGAUACAAAAAUGGAACUUUAGACCUCAUUAACUUUGAAAUUUGGAAUUUUAUGUCCGAAAUACGUCAAACGACAUCCAUUUUUAUACAAACUUUAUAGUAAUAUCUUAAUUCACAAACAAGACCUGUAUCGGGGACCCGAUACCAACAUGUUCCAAUCACAUAUCACUUAGAUUUUUUCUUAACAAUUUUAGAAAAAUAAUUUCUUUUAACAAUUUAUUUCUCAGGCUCAGAACAUUGGAAUUCGAUUUCGGGCGUACGCCCGAGUCCCAUAUUUUUCUAUGGACCCUGCGAUAUAUUCAAAUAACAGGUCCAAAUCCGUUUGCCCAAAAAGUUUACCAAUGUCCAAUUUAUUGUGAGCAUGUGAUUUUUGCCCUACAUGAAUUACUCUUGUAUAUUCAAACUGAAUCAUUUAUUCUAUUAUUUGGCAAUUUUGUGGUUUUUGGACAUUUUACGUGUUUUGUCCGUGCAUUUAAAUUAAUGAAAAAUACAAAAUUCUUUGCAUGUGCAUUUAGGAUAUUGUUAUGCAUUUUAGGAUUAAUCAGAAAAUCAAUUGUUUUAUGGAAAAAAAUCAUCAAAAUAUCGUGUAAUUUGCAUUUUUAAUGUUAAUCUUGAUUUUUUGAGUAGUUUUUGUGCUAAGUUGUUUUAAUUAAUGGUUUGAAUUGUCAUUUUUGUGUUUAAUUAGUUUUUUAGUUUUAGUUAAUUCAUUUUUAGGAAUUAAUUGAGAUUUAUGUUUAGUUUUAGUUAAUUCAGUUUUAGGAAUUAAUUGAGAUUUAUGUUUAGUUUUAGAAUUAAAAGAAAUUAAAAGGAAGUUGAAAACAAAAAAGAAACAAAGAAAAAAAAAGCAAAACAAAAUCUGGAAAAUUGAGCCCUAUAUUGGGCCCAAAAUUCUUCUAAAGCAGUCCAAAAACCCUCCCAAACCCCGGUGCAUGCCCACCCCAACCCCGUCCAACCCCUUCUCCUAGCCAAACGACGUUGUUCCAUGGCAAUUCAAUCUGGGCCGUCGAGGUUGGCUUGAUCCAAUGGUUGUGAAGCCUGCCUCACUUAAUAUAAAUAUGUUCAAACAUUACCCCUUUACCCCCCUCUCGGUCUCUACCCCUUCUCUCAUCAGAGACUUGUAACGCCACCAUUUCCCACUGUAAACAGCCGGCCGAAAAUCGUCUCUACCGGAGGCGAUUACUCAAAAGUAUUCAAAUAAACACCACUCCACUUCCUCAACUUCCUCUUUCAAAAUCUGGGCCCGGUUUCUCUCAAAUCCCCACCAAUCGUCUCGAAUAUCCAUUCGAAAUGUCAGGUACUCCGCCACGUACGGCGGCACCGGCCCUAAACUCCAUCAAAAUAACACCCUAAAGCACCCAGACCUCCCUAAUUCUAAAUCCUUAUUCCACCGCCCUCAAACCUCUCUCUAAGUGCUCAACACCCCAAAGCUAAGGGUUUCGGAGUUUGCAUGGAAGUCUCCUUCGAAACCAAUGUCCAAUUUGGAUUUAAGCUAAAGUCUCCUAGGCUCUUCUUUUCUAAACGUCCCUCUUCCUCAUCUUUUCUAUCAGUUUGGUUUUGUUUUUGAAUUAGGUUUAAGCCAUUGAAUCUCUUCUGUCAAUUUUAGCAUUUGUUUGUUAAUUGACUUCAAAAUUAGGUUUAGUUUUGUGUUAGUUAAAUUUGUUCUAGUCUAUUGUUUGAAUUCCAUCCUUGAGUUCAAUUAGUUUUAGUUUGGUUGUUAAGUGGAUUUCAUGAUUGGUUCCUAAAGUCGAAUUAGAUUUUGUGCAUAACAGUUGAGUCUGUCAUUUGGAAAAUCUGGGUUACAUUAUUCGCUUUUAAUAUAUCUUGGGGUACAAUUUUUUUAUAUUACGGGUAUAGUUCAUUAUGCUGAUUUUCUUUCCAUUUCUUUCGUAAUUGGAUUUUUUUGGACAUAUCAUGAUUCAAACCUGAACAAGAAUAUUUAUAAUCAAAGGGCAAUUCAGGGUAAUAAAAGAGGUAAAAUCAAGGCAAUUCAGGGGUAGUUUAACAAGUACGGAGAAAAGAGUCUUAGUAUAACUGAUUUUAAAAGCGUCGAGUAGGGGUCUAGGAAGAAAUUCAGAUUUUUAACAGCACAUCUUGGGUCGCAAGCAAAUAAGUGAAGGAACCUAUGAUAAAAACAAGAAAUUUAAAGAAGGACUAAAGGGCAAAAGUGAAUUUAUGAAGCUUGCCCUAACUCUUGCAUAUAAAAGGCACGAUGUAUUUGCCUUAGGGGUAAGGGGGCAAGAAUAGAAAAGGGAAAUUUUUUAACAAAAAGAGAACACAGGCGGCUGAAAAUUGGUCAAGGUUUUUACAGUCCUAUUUCCACUCUGAGUUUUGGAACUCUUCAUCUUUGAAAAUUAAUUACUCUUGUGUGAGUGUUUUGCAAAGGCUCGAGUUUGAUUCCUGUUGAAAAUCUUGGUAGAUUGAGUAGUCAUAUCACUGUUUCAUUGGUUAUUUCUGUGUAGAUUUCCUUGAUAUUAUUGCUUGGAAUUGUUGUUGAUGGUUUAUGCUGUUUGGUUUCUUCUUAAGCUCAUAGCCCCAUUGUUUAUCUGUUGUAUCUGGUACAUACUGCAAACCUCAAUGUGUAAUCAAAUUGGGAGAUGAAUGAAGCUAUUUCAGGGUUGAAGCAUUAGUUGUCGUUUAAGAAAAAUGACCAUGUCCCCUUGCUUGCCAGUUUUAGACUAUUGAUGUAGAUUUCUUUCUUAAAGUAGUUAGGGAUUAAGCUAUAAUUAAUAAUGGACUACAAAUUAUCGUUUCUCUACACGCGCUAGUUUUGUUUAUUAUCUGUAGUAUACUAAUUGGACAUGUAUAACUGAACGUUUGGUAGGCUGGUUUAUAGCCAUUGCUUGAAAUGAUUUGUAUGUUAGACUAUCAGUUUCCCCCUUCCCUCCUAGUUUCCUCAUAUUUCAGUGCUCGAAUUCACUGAUGAGUCGUGUAGCUGUUAAUUUUAGUAGUAUAAUUUUGUCAGCAAUUCAUGAUACCUAGAGGAAUCAUCAGAUUCUAUCAUUGAUCCAGUGUGUAUGGAUCUGGUGUUCUUCUAGUAGUUUUGUCAAGCUAUAAUAAUUGAGUCUUUUUUUUACUCAUAAGGCAUGGCAUUCAUAUAGAGUUUAGCUUAAGGUAAUACUGAUUCCUUUCAAGUGUUUCAAAGUUUGUAAGAAUGUUUAAGCGUUAGUUUGAAUUUUAAUUUUGGAAUAUUGGGAGACCAUAAGAAGUAAUUAUGGGAUUAAUCUGUUGAUUUGCAUAAGUAUAUUCUGUGAGUACUAGGUGUUUAAAAUGGGAUUUAGUCAAUUCAAGAUCUAUGCAUUAGUGUUUGGUUUUCACAAUUUAGUUUUGUGGUCAUUUGACUGAACCUACAAAUCUGCCAAUGUACAAUCUGUUGUCAAUGUCUUUCAUUAGAUUAAAUAUUUCUUCUAUCCAAUUGCUUAAAUGUGAUUCCAUGGCUUCUUGCUCGAUCUAGGUUUGCUCCGUUGGCGUUGG
rnacentral:lncRNA from 1 species